CCAAGACAGGAUAGAGAGUCUUACAGAGAAGACCUCAAGAGGAGUAAAGAUGUCCAAUGGGAAGAGUUUGGCAGACACCUUCCAGGAGGCAUAAUUACCAGAGGCAAGAGGAAUGAUGUUGGCAUUCCACGGGAAAAAUCCAUCUCUAUCAGCCUCAGAAACGACCUCUUGUCUCUGGAAUUUGGAGCAAAGAGAAGGUGCACUGUCUCCAGAUUGACUCCAGCAGAGGGAAAAGAAAUCAGGUUCUUCUGUGCCAUUCUUCAAACAUUUAGAGGAAAUUGAUUUUCCACAUGGGCUGGAGCCAAGCGAGGGAUGAGCGGCACAGAAGUCCCGCGACAGGCUAUUACUCUUUUACCCUCUCCAUGUUGGCGUCAUGUGCAAAUCCAGGAGCAUGAUGCUGCCACAGUUCAAGAUGUGACACCCAGGAGGACAGCAAACAAUAUCCUUAAGAAUCAAGGUGUUUUCACACCCUCAGAGAGGUGAUGGUAAAAAGCCAAACUCAAGCUGAUACCUGCAGCUGAAAACAACGGUGGACACAUUCCUGGAUCCAGAAUUCUUUCAUCCUUUCCGGGGCGAACGCUGGCUAUCUCGUUGCUCACAGAUGACCCUGGUCUUGAUUACAGGUUUCUGCCUCCACCAAAGUACUGGCUGAGCACAGGCCCUGUUGUGAAAUCCAGCAUAUUUGGGUCUAUUUAAAAAUACCUCCCCUCCUGCCAACUCCUUCCUCAAGGAGGCUCCAAGAUGACUUUCUCUGAGAAGCCUCCCGUGCACUCGUCCCUGGCCACACCCAUGCAAGACUCUUCUCUCUGCCCCCCCUGGCUCCAGCAGAGCCUUGGCAUAACCUUUAACCACUCUGAUGGAUGUGAAUUUCUUCACCUACAGUCAGCGUCCCUAGGGUUAUGCUGGUUAAUGCAGUGGCCAUAAGCCCUGCGUGGCUACUUAAAUCCACAGGGAAAUGCAUACAUGUUUAAAUAAAAUUUAAAAUUCAGGUGCUUAGUUGCACUGGCCACAUUUCAGGACCUCAGUAGCUGCCAGCAUGUAGCACAGUGGCCAGUUUAGAUAUUGAAUAAA